GACGAACGCUGGCGGCGUGCUUAACACAUGCAAGUCGAGCGGAAAGGCCUUUCGGGGUACUCGAGCGGCGAACGGGUGAGUAACACGUGAGUAAUCUGCCCUUCACUCUGGGAUAGCCACCGGAAACGGUGAUUAAUACCGGAUACGACCAAUCCCUGCAUGGGGUGGUGGUGGAAACUUUUUUGGGUGGGGGUUGUGCUCGCGGCCUAUCAGCUUGUUGGUGGGGUAAUGGCCUACCAAGGCUUAGACGGGUAGCCGGCCUGAGCGGGUGACGGGACACACUGGGACUGAGACACGGCCCAGACUCCAACGGGAGGCACCAGUGGGGAAUAUUGGACAAUGGACGGAAGCCUUAUCCAGCAACGCGGCGUGAGGGAUGACGGCAUUCGGGUUGUAAACCUCUUUCAGCACCGACGAAGCGCAAGUGACGGUAGGUGCAGAAGAAGGACCGGCCACCUACGUGCCAGCCGCCGCCGUAAGAC
rnacentral:rRNA from 1 species